rnacentral:tRNA from 1 species
GGGUAUCGCCAAGCGGUAAGGCACAUCACUCAUAAUGAUGGGGUCACAGGUUCGAAUCCCGUCGUAGCCACCA